GUCUUCCCGCCCCGCGCCUGUGGCCCAGCGCUCCUUUGGUCUCCGGGUUUGUGGACCCCUGCGGCCGUCGCCCGGCUGGCGCCAGGCCGGCUCGGCGGAGGGAGGGCCUGGGCGGUGGGUAGGCGGGAGGGAGGUUACCUUUCCCUGUCUCCCCCCCGGGCCGCCUGAGGCGGGAGGAAGCAGCGGCAAAGUCCGUGGGCGGCAUGGCAGGCGCUCCGGAUGAACGCGGCCCGGGCCCCGCUGCGGGGGAGCAGCUGCAGCAGCAACACGUCGGGUGCCAAGUCUUCCCGGAGCGGCUGGCUCAGGGGAAGCCACAGCAAGGGUUCCUCUCCAGCUUCUUCACCAACAACCAGAAGUGCCAGCUUAUGCUCUUGCAGACGUUGGAGACAAGUAGGAGCCAUCCAUAUGUUAAACUGCUGCUUGAUGCCAUGAAGCAUUCGGGUUGCGCUGUUAACAAAGAAAGACACUUUUCUUGUGAAGAUUGUAAUGGAAAUGUCAGUGGAGGUUUUGAUGCUUCAGUGUCUCAGAUUGUUUUGUGCCAGAAUAAUAUCUGUAAUCAGGCCCAUAUGAACAGAGUGGUCACCCAUGAGCUCAUUCAUGCUUUCGAUCAUUGUCGAGCUCAUGUCGACUGGUUCACCGACGUCAGGCACUUGGCCUGCUCUGAGGUUCGAGCUGCUAACCUUAGUGGAGACUGCUCACUUUUAAAUGAAAUACUCAGGUUACAUUUUGGAUUAAAACAACACCAUCAGACUUGUGUGCGAGACAGAGCCAUUCGUUCUAUCCUGGCUGUUAGGAACAUCAGCAAAGAAGUAGCUCAGAAGGCUGUUGAUGAAGUUUUUGAAUCUUGUUUCAAUGACCAUGAACCUUUUGGAAGGAUCCCUCAUAAUAAGACCUAUGCAAGAUAUGCUCAUAGAGACUUUCAAAACCGGGAUCGGUACUACUCAAAUAUAUGAAGACGAUGACAUUUUAUAUUGCAGAGCUUCAGUGAUCAUGAAGAAAGUAUGGUUCCCAAGUGGACAAACAUAAAACGUAAAUGAUCAAUUAAAUACAGAGAAGACACAGAAGAUGCUGAUUCUAGCAUCAGAAAAAGUAACUGUGUGUAUAGAAACACAGCAGAUUCAACAGCAUAUUAACAAGACCAUACACCGUGACCAAGUGGGAUUUAUUCCUGGUCACACACCAUGACCAAGUGGGAUUUAUUCCUGGAUCACACACCAUGACCAAGUGGAAUUUAUUCCUGGAGUGCAAGGAUGGUUCAACAUAUGAAAAUUGAUCAGUGUAAUAUACCACAUUAACAGAGUGAAGGAAAACUAUAAUUUGAAAAGAAGCAUGCACCCCAAUGUUCAUAGCAGCACUGUUCACAGUAGCCAAGACAUGGAAGCAACCUAAAUGU